rnacentral:rRNA from 1 species
UGAGAAUCUGCCUUGGGGUCGGGGACAACCACUGGAAACGGUGGCUAAUACCGGAUAAGCCUUUGGGUAAAAAAUUUAUUGCCCCAAGAGGAGCUCGCGUCUGAUUAGCUAGUUGGUGAGGUAAAAGCUCACCAAGGCAGCGAUCAGUAGCUGGUCUGAGAGGACGAUCAGCCACACUGGGACUGAGACACGGCCCAGACUCCUACGGGAGGCAGCAGUGGGGAAUUUUCCGCAAUGGGCGAAAGCCUGACGGAGCAAGACCGCGUGAGGGAGGAAGGCUCUUGGGUUGUAAACCUCUUUUCUCAGGGAAGAAGCUCUGACGGUACCUGAGGAAUCAGCCUCGGCUAACUCCGUGCCAGCAGCCGCGGUAAUACGGAGGAGGCAAGCGUUAUCCGGAAUUAUUGGGCGUAAAGCGUCCGCAGGUGGCGAUUCAAGUCUGCUGUCAAAGCACGGGGCUUAACUCCGUUAAGGCAGUGGAAACUGAAUAGCUAGAGUGCCGUAGGGGUAGAGGGAAUUCCCGGUGUAGCGGUGAAAUGCGUAGAGAUCGGGAAGAACAUCGGUGGCGAAAGCGCUCUACUGGACGGCAACUGACACUCAGGGACGAAAGCUAGGGGAGCGAAUGGGAUUAGAUACCCCAGUAGUCCUAGCUGUAAACGAUGGAUACUAGGUGUAGCUUGUAUCGACCCGAGCUGUGCCGAAGCUAACGCGUUAAGUAUCCCGCCUGGGGAGUGCGCACGCAAGUGUGAAACUCAAAGGAAUUGAGGGGGGUCCGCACAAGCGGUGGAGUAUGUGGUUUAAUUCGAUGCAACGCGAAGAACCUUACCAGGGCUUUACAUGUCCAGAAUCUCGGUGAAAGCUGGGAGUGCCUUCGGGAGCCGGAACACAGGUGGUGCAUGGCUGUCGUCAGCUGUUGUCGUGAGAUGUUGGGUUAAGUCCCGCAACGAGCGCAACUCCUCGUACUUUAGUUGCCAGCAUUAAGUUGGGCACUAUAGAGAGACUACCGGUGACAAACCG